GGGAAGAAUCCGUAGACUUUAUAUGAGCACAGCGUGACCUUACAUAUUUUUUUAGUAAGGGAAGCAGCUCAAGGGCAAAAAAAAGGAAUGAGAACUACUACUACUACUACUACUACUACUACUACUACUACUACCAAAAGCCCCACUGAACACUGUCCCUAUGAAAAAAAAAAAAAUUCAGAAGUGGCCAUAAGAGAGGUCAAUUUCAGGAGGAGAGGUGUAGGGAUUUAAAGGAGGCAGCUCAAGAUCAUGAAAAAGCAUAAUGAGAAACAGAAACCCCACUGAACACUCCCAAUGAAAGAAAAAAAAAAAGAGUUCAGAAGUGGCCAAAAGAGAGGUCAAUUUCAGGAGGAGAGGUGUAGGGAUUUAAAGGAGGCAGCUCAAGGUCAUAAAAAUGCAUAAUGAGAAACGAAAGCCCCACUGAACACUGCUCCUAUGUAUGAAAAAAAGGUCAGAAGAGUGGCCAUAGGAGAGAGAGGUCAAUUUCCAGAAGAGAGGUGUAGGGAUUUAAAGGAGGCAGCUCAAGGUCAUAAAAAACCAUAAUGAGAAACGAAAGCCCCACUGAACACUGCUCCUAUGUAUAAAAAAAAGGUCAGAAGAGUGGCCAUAGGAGAGAGAGGUCAAUUUCCAGACAGUGUGAUAAAAACAUGACCACUUACAUUUCCAGUUUUUAUUAAUUUGAACACUCAGGUACUUAAAAGACUGAAAGACUACUAAUACUGACUUAAAAACUAAACUUAAAAAGGGUUCCUGCUUAACUAUUGAGUAUUUCUGUAUAUAUGCACGCAAAUGUUCACACACAGGCGUACGUACAUUGUGGAGGAUGGGGAACAGCACGAGGGAAUACACUUAUGCAUCUGACUAAAGGACACAGCUGCCAGAGAGUAAACAGGUACAGUGUGUGUGUGGGUGUGGGUGGGUGGCUGGGUGUGUGUGUGUGUGUGUGUGUGUGUGUGUGUGUGUGUGUGUGUGUGUGUGUGCAAUAAUAAUAAUAAUAAUUGUGUGUGUGUGUGUGUGGGUGUGUGUGUGUCAGUAAGUCCAGCUUCACAAAUGAAUGUGGCUCAUGAACCAUCAUCAACUUCUCUGGUUCUGAAAUGAGAGCAGCUGGAGGGCGAUCUAUUAAUGGUGCACUUUCAUCCGUAAUAAACAAAACAACAAUAAUCCUAAUGCUAUAAAUGAACCACUAAUGCUAAACACAAAAUGAAAUAAACAUUCUCGUCCAUUCGGCUGAGAAAAAAGUGUUUCCGUAACUGUUUUAAACACUUAUAUUAAUAAUGCAAACACAAGCAUGUACAAAGACCAUGUGGCUUGUGAAUUAAGUUUCUAAAUAGAAAAGUAAAAUAUAGUAAAGAUUGCUGUGAAUAUCCGUCACACUAGAGUGACCUUAAAAAAGUAGUACAAAACAUAAAUGACUUUCUUAAUUGUACAAAUGAUAAUCUUUAAUAUUAACAGUAAAUGUAUCAACCUGUAAAUAAUACUGAGAGUUAGUAUUAUUAGUAAUAGUACCAUACGUGUCGCCCUACACACACUGUUGUCACGAGGAACUCUGCAUUAGAGACGAGGGACUUUGUUUCUCAGCCAGUGAGAGGUAAAGGUGAGCUCAAAACUCAGGUAACUUUGCAAACUCAAACUUUAUUAUGAUAGAUUCUAAAUGCAUUUACAAUAUUAUAUCAGAACAAUGGGGAGGCCUGAGGAAGUGAGGACAAUGAUGUGUGGCAUGGGAGAAUAAACCAAACAGUAAGAACAUCUAGACUGAGGUAAAGAGAGAAGGGGUCAGGUCAAAGGGCAGAGUAGGAUAAGGAAGGAACAAAGGGACACAUGACACA